rnacentral:rRNA from 1 species
UACGGGGGGAGCAAGCGUUGUUCGGAUUUACUGGGCGUAAAGGGCGCGUAGGCGGCCACCGCAAGUCGACUGUGAAAUCUCUGGGCUUAACCCAGAAAGGUCAGCCGAUACUGCGGGGCUGGAGUGCAGAAGGGGCAACUGGAAUUCUCGGUGUAGCGGUGAAAUGCGUAGAUAUCGAGAGGAACACCUGCGGCGAAGGCGGGUUGCUGGGCUGACACUGACGCUGAGGCGCGAAAGCUAGGGGAGCGAACGGG